UAUCACAGGUAGUUCAUUGUAAACACCUGUGGGUUGUGCGAGAUCUGCCCCUACCACGAUAUAGCGAGCCAUCCAUGUGUUACACAUUUUAGUGAGGCUUUCAUCGACGAAAAUCGGUAUUUUUAUCCCUAAUGUGUGAUUUCUGCUGGUGCCAACACCCAUUUUGAAUCCCAGAUUUGCUAUUUUUCUUUGCCGUCAAAAAAAAAACGGCCGGGCGUACAACUUGGUGGCCAGUUGCGUUUGCGCGUAUUCCGAUUGUGCUGCGAGCAGCAGGGACAAUAUUCCCGGGGUACGUUUCUAUAGUUUGCCUUCAAGCGUAGAUCCUGCAUUAGCAUUUGGCUGGCUCAUUAUUAGCGGCAAUGAUGAUCUUGCCGAAGCAUCCGCCGAGCGGUUGGGCCGCGUGAGAAUAUGCUAUCGGCAUUUUCCCCGAAAUCCGAUCUUCCCCAGCGGCCGCUUGUGUCGUAGAGCCGUCCUCAACCAUUGUGACUUCAGGGCUUAGGAGAUCAACGAUGGGGAGGAAUUUAGACAUUUGUGCGUUGCAACGCCCAAAUUUACCUUGAUUUUUGACGACAUGACUGCAGUCUUCGACAACAAGUGGUUUCCACGUUACAGAGCCCAGUACGAAAUUCGAGACAAAAUCUUUGAUCUGAUUCAGCGGGCCGUGAAUGUCAACGACAAUGGUUCGUUCCAGGACGAAGUAUGCGGAUAGCAUCGGCGUGAACUGGCGUACAACUUCAUGCGCGUAGAAAUCAACAAAGACGUCAAAUGGUUAGACGACCAAUGCCGAGUCCAGAGUAUCCGAAGCAUGGGUCGGAGACCCCCGCAGAAGCUGAGAAACUUACAGGGUACCUAAAUCAUCGUCAUGAGGUGUGACGACAACUCGCAUCUCUUCCGGAACUAGAGGUGUUUGAGUUGAUCUUCGACGUGGAAGACUUUGUCAAUAGCCUCCUCGCGGCGUCUUCUGGAAAUGCUCUUCAUGAGUAGCUAAUAAUUGACAAAUAUAAUCUUCUGUUGCGUCAUUGAUACCCAUAUUCAUGGUUUGGCGAAUUCCACACUUGAGAUCAUGCGAGAAAUUCACAUGCAACGUGUAGGAUGCAGGCAAUGGCAACCGUCUCAAUUCGCUUUUGGAUGUGAAUGUCGUGAAUGUGCACAGUCAUAGAUUCAUAAAUCAGCUUCUCUGAAACGCAUGCAUGUGCUCUCGCACUCGUACUCACGGCCGAAUAAUUUUUUUGUUUAGGGGAUUUUUGGUCAUUCCAAUUUGUCUGACUGAUCAAAUAUAAUUUUGUAAUAGUUAUCUCGAUACCAUAUUCAAAAAUCAGACAUUAAAAAAUUAUUUUUUGUUACCUUUCUCACCUGGUACCUGCCCAGGUGUCACUGGGCAAGCUUCACAAGCACGCAGGUAAACAAAGUAUGUACAUGAGACGGUACUGAGAACUUAAGGUUUCAUCUUUUAGAAAAUAAGUUAUGUCUUAUCGCUCUGGGAUCUUACUCUAGUAGUAUAGUUCAAAUUAUACGUCAGCAUUUUUUUUUAUUUUUCAGUGCUAUCCGUCAUUGUUUAAAAAAAUCAUUUAAAAGUCAAUUGUUGAAUAAACGAAUGAUGAAUAAA